rnacentral:rRNA from 1 species
GACGAACGCUGGCGGCGUGCUUAACACAUGCAAGUCGAACGGAAAGGCCUCUUUCGGGGGGUACUCGAGUGGCGAACGGGUGAGUAACACGUGAGUAACCUGCCCUUGACUUUGGGAUAACUUCAUGAAACUGGGGCUAAUACCGUAUAGAAGCUCCUGCUGCAUGGUGGGGGUUGGAAAGUUUCGGCGGUUGGGGAUGGACUCGCGGCUUAUCAGCUUGUUGGUGGGGUAGUGGCUUACCAAGGCUUUGACGGGUAGCCGGCCUGAGAGGGUGACCGGCCACAUUGGGACUGAGAUACGGCCCAGACUCCUACGGGAGGCAGCAGUGGGGAAUAUUGCACAAUGGGUGGAAGCCUGAUGCAGCAACGCCGUGUGCGGGAUGACGGCCUUCGGGUUGUAAACCGCUUUCGCUCAUGACGAAGCGUUGUGUGACGGUAGUGGGUAAAGAAGCACCGGCUAACUACGUG